rnacentral:lncRNA from 1 species
ACGAACAAAAAUUAUAUGGGGCAGGCAUUUUACUUUGCCACAUUUUUUCUAGUGCCCAUCUUAAAGAAGAAAUCUAAAAGUCAGAGACUCCUUCUAACGGAGUUGUUAGUCCCGUGAAUGAAAAAAAUCAAAGAAAGGAAAGAAAGUCGCACGUGGCAUUCUGUUUCUUCCUCGUUUUCAAAAUAUACUUUUCACCGGUACAUACUAUCAUCUCUAAUGAAGAAUAUAGCUCCAUGAGAUGCGGGAACCACUUAAAAGCAUAUAUCAAUGGACUGAAUCUCAGCUCUGCCCAAGGUGGGUUUUGCACUUGGUCAUGGUGAUAUGCUUGAUAAAGGUUUGUUUCGUCGAUAGCAUUUUCUGAUUUGGGAUGCGUAGUAGCUGUUGUCACAGUAGGGGUCCUAAGGCGGGAAUUGUCCUACCCAUUUUGGGAACGUCCAGUGGCAAAGUCACUGAAUGGGUAAGUCGCCAAUCCCUAGCUGAAUCUAGGGCAGAGGAUUGAGUUUCUUUUUACCAAAUCCAGAAGAUGAAGCUACUGAGAUCUCUCGCAAUACAUUUUUCUUUUUCCGAUACGGCUCGCGACCUAAAAAAAUCCCGGCCCACUCGCCACGGUCCACUCGUUCACUCGCUGCUUCAAGUAAACCACUCGAUGCUUGAAGUCUCGGAUCCACUAAUACGAGCAGCGCGAGCAGUGGUGCAAUGAAUAGUAGUUGGAAGCAGGCAGCUCAAUAAGCGAAUCUGUCCCGGAUUCAGAUUGGUAUUGGUGUAGGCUCUAAGCCAAGCCUAUCUCGUGUGCUAUAAAAUACACAACGUACUUUCCCAAGCCUUUCUCAAGCUACGCCAGUCAAGCUUUCUCAGAAAACAAAGAAAGAGGAGUACGCUUUCCAGCGAGGAUACAAGAGUGCGUCGUUUUCAAGCCAGUUUAGCUUCUUAGACCCCACUUUCUUUUCCUGAUGCUGAACCGAAAGUGUUCCAUACUCCCUCCUCCCUUCUUUGUAUGGUGAAAGAUCUAAAGCAAAAGACUCAUAGGGUUCGGUUAGAAAGCACCGCCUUCAAUCAAUGUCCGUCCCCUGCCCACACUCACCGGUAGAAAGAACAUGAACGCAUCCGUUUUCUUUCUGUUUGGAUGGCCAGCGGGCAAAGUAAGGCUUCGCCGUUUGAGAACCCCUUCUUUCUGUGGAGCCGUUAGGUAGGCUACCUGUGAGGUUGAGGUGAGUGUGGGCAGGGGACGGACAUUUCUUGUCUUGCUGCUUGGUAGGCCAGCCAGUAAGUCGGUUGUCUCUUUUUCAACAGGGUAGGAAGAACAGGAGGCUUCCCCAACUCAAUGUAAGCGUUCCUUAUAGUCGAGUGGCUUCCAUCUCCUCUCCUUAUAGUCGAGUGGCUUCCAUCUCCUCUCCUUUUAGUCGAGAUCUUUUAGAACCUUCACCUUUGAGUCGAGUUGCUUCCUAGUCCACCCAUCCUAAAAGUGGUCUUCCAAGCAAGAUGAAAUACUCGAAUCAUCCGUUGAUUAUACUUUGUCAAGCGAUUGGAGUGACCACAGAAGCGGAACGGAUAUGGCUAAGUAAUACACUAAACAAAUUAGUCAUGUAGCAAGCCAAUACACACAAUUAGAUAAAUCAAUAAACAGUUUCUAGAACAUAAUGUUCACUGGUACAAAGUACACGGUCAAGUGAUGCACAUUUAACAAAUUAGUCAUCUAG